rnacentral:rRNA from 1 species
CAGCAGCCGCGGGAAUACGUAGGUGGCAAGCGUUGUCCGGAAUUAUUGGGCGUAAAGGGCUCGCAGGCGGUUUCUUAAGUCUGAUGUGAAGGCCCCCGGCUCAACCGGGGAGGGUCAUUGGAAACUGGGAAACUUGAGUGCAGAAGAGGAGAGUGGAAUUCCACGUGUAGCGGUGAAAUGCGUAGAGAUGUGGAGGAACACCAGUGGCGAAGGCGACUCUCUGGUCUGUAACUGACGCUGAGGAGCGAAAGCGUGGGGAGCGAACAGGACUAGAUACCCGUGUAGUCCCUGUCUCUUAUAA